UAUAACAGCUUGAGGGGUUUUAGUCGGUAGGUCCGAGGACACCUUUCUCGGGAAUCCGACACUACCCGGUCGUACGAACAGUUGGGUGUCUUUGGAAGAUUUCCCAUCUUC
rfam:Agrilus planipennis Contig37834, whole genome shotgun sequence.